rnacentral:rRNA from 1 species
UACGGAGGGGGCUAGCGUUGUUCGGAAUUACUGGGCGUAAAGCGCACGUAGGCGGCUUUGUAAGUUAGAGGUGAAAGCCUGGGGCUCAACUCCAGAAUUGCCUUUAAAACUGCAUCGCUUGAAUCCAGGAGAGGUGAGUGGAAUUCCGAGUGUAGAGGUGAAAUUCGUAGAUAUUCGGAAGAACACCAGUGGCGAAGGCGGCUCACUGGACUGGUAUUGACGCUGAGACGCGAAAGCGUGGGGAGCGAACAGG